AACUCCUCUUGACAGCUUCCUCACUGCAGACAGCCCUGUAACAAUCUCUGCUCUCAUUGGUCGCGCGCCAACCAACGUCUCCUCUGAUUGGACAACACGCGCCAAAACAUUACCAGGCGUCACACCACGUUACUAGAGCAGUAUGGCAGCUCCCAUGAGCAGUGUGGGGAAACCCUUAGCUGAGCGUUCAGCGUUCAAUAACACGAGUUUCCAGAAGAAAACCAGGAGCAAGUUAAUCUCCAUAGCCGGUACCAGACCGUCGGUGCAAAACGGACAGCUCUUAGUCUCCACCGGUGUCACGUCACUGGACUAUCUGCUCGGUGGCGGGUUAGCAGUUGGAACAGUGCUCCUCAUAGAGGAGGACCGAUAUGAUAGCUACUCUCGUAUGAUCUUAAAGUACUUCCUGGCAGAAGGAGUGGUGUGUCGACAUGAACUUUUCGUGGCGGCAGCUCAAGAUAACCCAGAUGACAUCUUACAGGAACUCCCUGCUCCCAUCCUGGACGAUGUUGCUAUCCACAAACCAGUGGAGCAGCCCAGGCUGUCAUGUGAACCUCAGGACAGUUUGGACGCCAUGAAGAUCGCCUGGCGCUAUCAGAAUCUUCCAAAAGUACAGAGUGCCCUGGCAUCGUCAUCCCGGUUCGGGCACUACUAUGACGUCUCCAAGACGAUGGAGCCAGAAAUUCGCCAGGCAGCCAAGUGCCACCUCUUCUACCUCCCAGAACAUCCCGCCCAGUCGUCACCCACACACAGUACCAUGCUUGAGUCCUACUCUGCGUUGCUGAAGUCACUUCAAGAGGUCAUAAACAGAGAGGGCUUCGAUGUAGCAGCUCCCAUGUCAAAUUCCCGCAACAUCCUGCGAAUUGGGCUCCACUCUCUCGGCUCGGCUCUGUGGGGUGAUGACCUGUGUUGCCAUGACAACCCCAGAAAUGGCCACGCCCUCACUACCUUUCUCUAUGGACUGCGUGCUUUGCUGAGGUCAUCGCUGUCAGUCGCAGUAGUUACUGUGCCUUCACAUCUCAUCCAGGACAGAGCUCUAAUGGGCAGCAUAACCAGGCUAUGUGACAAUGCCAUAGCCCUGGAAUCAUUCAAAGGCUCUGAGAGAGAGACCAACCCACUCUACAAAGAUUACCAUGGUCUGCUACAUGUACGCCAAGUUCCUCACCUCAACUGUCUGGCGAGUAAACUCCCCGACCACAAGGACCUGGCCUUUAAGCUCAAGAGAAAACAGUUCACUAUUGAGAGACUGCAUUUGCCUCCAGACUUGUCUGAGACGGUGAGUCGUGUGAGCAGGGGGGAGCUGGCAGGAGCGACCGCGGUGGCUUCAGCCUGUGGCUCCGGCACUUCCGGCAACAAACACCUGGACUUCUAGCGCUCCCACACAGUCGCCACGGGCAACCAACACCUGGAACCAACGUGGCGUUGUCCUCUUUACCGCAGUGACCAGGUUGGAGUAGGGAUGCCUCCGUCUGACCCUAAGACUGUGCCGGUGAGUGACGUCUACCUCCAGUAAGCUGGAGAGCUGAGCAGGAAUGUGGGCAGAGGGUAGGAGAGCUGGAUUUGGGUGCAGGCUUCACACCUCAUCAGGCAUGUUUGCUGGAUGAGCUGCUUUGCCAUGACAAGCCCAAAAGAACAAAUUAGGUCAAAUGGUGACAUGGAGAAACAGAGAAAAAAACAACAUGAAAAAUUAAAUGUUUCAUUUUUGUUUUCCUCAGUCGGCUGCUGAUGCCAGUUUGAAUAAUUUUGCCUGUGAAAACUGGCAGUAUUGGUAACCAUCUGCAACACGUGUUGGGAGAGGGUAGCGUUACCUGACAGUUUCAUGCAUGAACGGAGUGCUCUUAUAUCGGGUGUAUGAGGGAGAGAGAUGACAUACACAGGACACUCAUACAGGUGAACAAAAGCUUGAGUUGUCAAGAUAAAAACCUGUUUCACAAGUUAUUGUUGUCAAAGAGUUGACAUAUUCAGGGUACACUUUUAGGGUAGAAUAAAAUAGAAUACAUUUAUUUUGGCAUUUGUUUAUGUUCACCCACUACUGGUAUGUCUGUUUACACUUGCCGUGUCUCCAUGUCACCAUGGUCCUGAUUCACUUUUUGUUUAAUCAGUUCAGAAAGUGCAUUAUUUUUUAAAGUUUUAAAAACAUCAACAAAGUUUUCGAAUGUUAGUUUCUUCAUUGCACAUUAUAAAGAAUGAGGGUUCUCACAUUUGUAUGUAGAGCUUCAACC